rnacentral:misc_RNA from 1 species
UCUCCGUUGGUGAACCAGCGGAGGGAUCAUUACAGGACUCGCAAGACUCCUACAACCCUGUGAACUUAACUAUAAGCACGUUGCUUAGGCGGGUGUCUCGGAGGGGGUUCUCCCUCCCCGAGACGCUAAACCCGCCGGCAGCCUACUAUACUCUGUCUCUUUGCGUUGGCAUCUCGAGUACAAUCAAACAAGUUAAAACUUUCAACAACGGAUCUCUUGGUUCUG